UGGACCAAUGAUGAGAGCAUGUCAUGAAGCAGCGCUUAUAAUUAAUCCAGUCUGUGCACCUGAGGUCCAAU
rnacentral:snoRNA from 1 species